AAAUCUUUUAGGUCAAGCUACAAAGGGCGCAGGGUGAAUGCCUUGGCACUAGGAGCCGAAGAAGGACGUGAUAAGCUGCGAUAAGCUUUGGGUAGGCGCAAAUAGCCUGUGAUCCAGAGAUUUCCGAAUGGGGAAACCUACUUAAUUAUAUUAAGUACCAUAUGCUGAAUACAUAGGUAUAUGGGGGUAAACCCGGGGAACUGAAACAUCUAAGUACCCGGAGGAAGAGAAAGAAACAUCGAUUUCCUAAGUAGCGGCGAGCGAAAGGGAAAGAGCCCAAACCAAAGCCUUUGGCUUUGGGGUUGUGGACAGAACAUAAAAGUGUGAAAUUUUUAGUUGAAGAUAGCUGGAAAGCUACUCCGUAGAAGGUAAUAGACCUGUAAGCAAAAGGAAUUAAGCAUAAGUUCUGAUCCAGAGUACCACGAGACACGUGAAACCUUGUGGGAAGCAGGGAGGACCACCUCCCAAGGCUAAAUACUACCUAGUGA
rnacentral:rRNA from 1 species